CAUGCAAGUCGAGGGGCAGCAUCAUUAAAGCUUGCUUUGAUGGAUGGCGACCGGCGCACGGGUGAGUAACACGUAUCCAACCUGCCGACAACACUGGGAUAGCCUUUCGAAAGAAAGAUUAAUACCGGAUGGCAUAGUUUUCCCGCAUGGGAUAAUUAUUAAAGAAUUUCGGUUGUCGAUGGGGAUGCGUUCCAUUAGGCAGUUGGCGGGGUAACGGCCCACCAAACCAACGAUGGAUAGGGGUUCUGAGAGGAAGGUCCCCCACAUUGGAACUGAGACACGGUCCAAACUCCUACGGGAGGCAGCAGUGAGGAAUAUUGGUCAAUGGACGAGAGUCUGAACCAGCCAAGUAGCGUGAAGGAUGACUGCCCUAUGGGUUGUAAACUUCUUUUAUACGGGAAUAAAGUGAGCCACGUGUGGCUUUUUGUAUGUACCGUAUGAAUAAGGAUCGGCUAACUCCGUGCCAGCAGCCGCGGUAAUACGGAGGAUCCGAGCGUUAUCCGGAUUUAUUGGGUUUAAAGGGAGCGUAGGCGGGCUGUUAAGUCAGUUGUGAAAGUUUGCGGCUCAACCGUAAAAUUGCAGUUGAUACUGGCGACCUUGAGUGCAACAGAGGUAGGCGGAAUUCGUGGUGUAGCGGUGAAAUGCUUAGAUAUCACGAAGAACUCCGAUUGCGAAGGCAGCUUACUGGAUUGUAACUGACGCUGAUGCUCGAAAGUGUGGGUAUCAAACAGGAUUAGAUACCCUGGUAGUCCACACAGUAAACGAUGAAUACUCGCUGUUGGCGAUAUACGGUCAGCGGCCAAGCGAAAGCAUUAAGUAUUCCACCUGGGGAGUACGCCGGCAA
rnacentral:rRNA from 1 species